GUUUAUUUUCUUUCCCUUAUUUUUCUUGUUUGCUUCUCAAUAUGAUUUUAUCAUCUCAUCUUUGAAGUGUUGUUUUCUGAAAUUCAUUGUAUUUCUGGAAUUUCUUCUGUAACUGUCUCAGUACAGUUUGUUUCUUGGGUUUGUGUUCUCUGGCCUGCUCUUUUUCCUCUCUCUUGUUUUUCUGUAGUAUGUCUGCCCUCCUACCCUGCUGUUUCUUUAUAUCUCACUUAUUCUUAAUGUGGACAGCUGCGUCCAGAUCUGUCUGCUCAUUCCUGUGACUCAGAGAGGAGGGGUCUGAGCACGGGGAGCCUCACCAGACUACAUGAGAAGACAUGGGUUUUGCUUUCUCUGUUCUAAUACUUUGCUUAAGCCAAGAAUCUCUUUCAUAGAGAUGUGUCCUACAUGAUUUCCACUACGAUUUUCUAGUUUUUUUUUAAAUUAUAGUUUAUGUCUUUUGUUUUUAGUUUGGUUUAUAUAUAACAAGAGAAGAUGAUUACAUUAUUUUUGUCACUUUGCCAUCAUUGUUUAGAGAUUAUAGAAAGAAUUUUUAAAUUUUUAAAUUGGGACCUCCUAUAUGGCAGGAUUUCUGUUUGUUGGUUUUUAAUGUAGGAAUCUCUGGUCUGGGAAAUUGUUUCUAAGGAUGGGUUUUGUUUUUGCUUUGUCUGAGACACCUGAAGUCCCAACGAAUUGUAAACAAUUAUCAUGUUACUUUCUCAGUGUAGGGAUUUCAGUGACACAUGGACUUCAAACCUGUGCAUAAUGUAAGCUCAGGGUUUCAGUUUCCUUUGGGAGGUCCUCCUCCUCUCCUCCUUCCAUUCAGUUCUCUAGGCAGAUGCCAGCUUUCUUGACCUCUUAUAUGCUAGUGGGCAGAAUCUUCCUCAUUCUCCUUUCAUAGCAGCCUCCCACUCUCAAGGAUCUCACCUUUAUGUAGUUCCAGUUCUCUAGCUUGAACACACACAAUGCUGCUUCUCCUCUCUCUUUGUGGAGUAGUAAAGUGGGUUUGAAUUAUAAUCCUGGAGAAUGCAUCCUGAAUGCCAUAAUCUUGAAUGCUGAAUCUGAAAGAUCAACAUCCCUAAUGUCUAAAUUCCUACAGUCUAAAAGCCCAAAAAUCACAAUCCCAACAGAUUAGAAUCCUGAAUGUUGAAAUCCUGAAAGCCAAAUUCUGAGGAAGGGAUUAGUGCUUUUGUUCUAUAUGGGAUAGCUGCAUCAUGUUAAGUGGAACUAUUACCUUCAUAUCGUCUUUAUGUGAAAAUUAAGUAUGGUUUAAGGAGAUGCGUAUGGCUACGUAUAUCAUCUUUGCAUCAUUUCCAAUACUGGAGGUAUAAACUGUAUAAAGACUUCUAGAGAGUUCUAAUUUGUUAAUGCAUUUUUCGCAAAUUUGACUCCAGAGUGUAUCAUCACAGCACUGACUGGGUAAGCAUUGUGUGUAUACAUAGGAAUGUGGAAACUUCUUCAAUAAAUGAAGAGAUGUUAUUUUUGUAGAUCUGAAUUUGUGAAAGAGAUUUCUUGAGAUCUUGGCUGGUUGGGUGACUGCUUCUGUGGUGGUGACCCAUUGUGGUUUUUUGAUCGAUCUUCUGAAAAGAUUGGCUGUUCAUCAUGGUAUUUCAGAUGACCACAGUUAGAAAGCUGGGUGCACACAAUGACUGAUUAUAAUGAUAUGUGUUUAUAUAUCCCUUUUUGACCUAUUUCUUCAUGAAUAUCUGCUCAUUAUUGUUAUACCCAUGUG
rnacentral:lncRNA from 1 species